UUCCUUUAAUCAUUUUCUUUGGCAAGAGAAUCAGAAGGAAAAAGCUCCAGAGUGACUCUUAUUAUAUUUUCCCUCCCUCUGCUUUUUCUUUCUGAUUCCCUCCAUCAUUCCCAGCUCUGUCAAGAUUGUGACAAACUUAAUUACCAGCAAACAGCAGGAAUCCCAGAUGACAUAUCCAUGGUUUUUUCUUUCUUCUGACUUCAUGAGAUCUUUGGUCUUUAAUGUAGAGUGAAUGAGGACGGGGAGCAGCUGCUGCUGGUGUCCAAUACCAGCAGCAUCUGAGCCCUUAUCUCCUUGAGAUCUUCAGUGUCAGGGUAGGAUGUGGAUAACAAAACCUCCCAGAGUGAUGAGAUUCAGGGCUGGAGGUUCAGAAAAUGGGAUUGUGCAUGGACAGGCCCAGAUCUGCCAUUUGGGGGCUGUCAUAGAAACCUGCUCUCAUUUCAGGACUGCUCACAGCAGGGACUGCACAGCCCAGGCCUCUUGCUCCAGGAUAAGGCACAUUUGUGCCUCCUGCAUCUGUAAAGCUGCCAUGGCCUCUGCUGUGCCCAACAAGGAGGAGGUGGCCCAGAGCUCCCCAGAGGAGGAGCAGGAGGUUGGUGCUCCCUGUGGGAUGUGAGGAGGUGGUCCUGCUGUGGCUGAGGGGAGCUGAG
rnacentral:lncRNA from 1 species